ACUUACACGAGAACAACACUUUAUAACACUUGACAGUGUAAAUUGGUUUGCACGAAGACCCUCAAUUCGCAUAUCAUUAAAGAGGUCCAACACCAUUCUAGAUGCCCCAAUUCGUACAUAGCCCGAUAUAAGGAUUGUUCCCGUACGAAUAUCUCUUUCAGAAAUUUCGUCGAACAACUUCUGUGCACAAUCCAAAUCUUUAGGAUUCCCGUUCAAAUUCAGAAUAUGAUUACCCGUAUACAGAUUAACAAUAUGAUUACCCCAAAUCCAAAUCUCGAGAUUUCACGAACAUCUCCCUUGCCAUCUCAACCCGUGAAAUAGUCAUUUUAUUCUACAGACUUAUUUUGCGAACUAAACGAGGCCUAAAGGAAUAAACGCAACAAUCCUAUCGCUCAUUUCCCCUGGGGCUAUAACACGGACUCGCCGAUUUCUUGUGCGGCCAGAAGAAUCAGAACCCCCUCUACUUUUGUUAUCCCACUCCAAUUGUGGAUAUUCAAGCCUCCUACAGACUCCUUAAUGCUUCCAUUUACUAGUAACGUUGCUGGAGCCUGGAAUCUAUAGUGGCAUUGAGAGGAAGAACGCUGCCCCGGAAAAGAGCUUUCCUAUGUCCCAAGAGGAAUUUGUACAGAGAAGCACAUUAGAUAGGCUACAAAACAAACUUCUACUGCCAUUAAUAUUAUUUGUAGGGAUCAGCUAGAUUUGGUACCCUUGGAGCGGCUUUAUCUAGUUCAGAGCUCACUAGCUCACAAGAAGUUAUCCUUCUCUUAAUUAAUGUACCGUUUGUUUCAACGUUAAAUGUUUUCGACAUUUUUCGGUGUUUGGUGAUGGCAAAAAUAAUGGUCAACAGAAAUCAUUUUCAGUUUGACUUCGUACUGGCCGGAUUCUAAAGAUUCUGGAAAAGCUCGGUCGGGAGGCACAAUUAGUAUUUGUCCAUACGACCAUGUUUUAUUUAAGGAAAUUAAAGCUCAAGAUGACUUCCAAGACUCGGGUGGCCGGACUUCUGUCAAACGGGUUGAACAGAAU